rnacentral:ncRNA from 1 species
GCAGAGUAGAACGUUAUGCGUUAAGUGCCUUAUGAACAGGGAGUUGUCAUAGGGACGAAAAGCAGCCCAAAGGUGGGCAUCAAAGCUUGCGGUAUAGUGUUCGCAUCCCGCUGC